GCUGGGCAUGGUGGUGCAUGAUUGUAAUUCCUGCUCCUAGGGUGGCCAAAGCUGGUGGAUUGCACGAGCUUGGGAGUUCUGAGUUGCAGUGGGCUACACCAGGCAGGUGUCCACGCUAAGUCUGGGGGGAUUCAGGCUAUCUAAGGAGAGGGGAACUGGCCCAGGCUGGAGACAGAGCAGGUCAAAGCUCCCAUGCUGAUCAGCAAUGAGAUAAGCGGUCCCUGCAGUCCUAGUCUGGGUGAGAUAGGGAGACCUAGUCUUUU
rnacentral:SRP_RNA from 1 species